AGAGUUUGAUCCUGGCUCAGGACGAACGCUGGCGGCGCGCCUAACACAUGCAAGUCGAGCGAGAGAUGAGGAGCUUGCUCUUCAAAUCGAGUGGCGAACGGGUGAGUAACACGUGGGUAACCUGCCCAUCAGAAGGGGAUAACACUUGGAAACAGGUGCUAAUACCGUAUAACAAUAGAAACCGCAUGGUUUCUAUUUGAAAGGCGCUUUUGCGUCACUGAUGGAUGGACCCGCGGUGCAUUAGCUAGUUGGUGAGGUAACGGCUCACCAAGGCAACGAUGCAUAGCCGACCUGAGAGGGUGAUCGGCCACAUUGGGACUGAGACACGGCCCAAACUCCUACGGGAGGCAGCAGUAGGGAAUCUUCGGCAAUGGACGAAAGUCUGACCGAGCAACGCCGCGUGAGUGAAGAAGGUUUUCGGAUCGUAAAACUCUGUUGUUAGAGAAGAACAAGGAUGAGAGUAGAAUGUUCAUCCCUUGACGGUAUCUAACCAGAAAGCCACGGCUAACUACGUGCCAGCAGCCGCGGUAAUACGUAGGUGGCAAGCGUUGUCCGGAUUUAUUGGGCGUAAAGCGAGCGCAGGCGGUUUCUUAAGUCUGAUGUGAAAGCCCCCGGCUCAACCGGGGAGGGUCAUUGGAAACUGGGAAACUUGAGUGCAGAAGAGGAGAGUGGAAUUCCAUGUGUAGCGGUGAAAUGCGUAGAUAUAUGGAGGAACACCAGUGGCGAAGGCGGCUCUCUGGUCUGUAACUGACGCUGAGGCUCGAAAGCGUGGGGAGCAAACAGGAUUAGAUACCCUGGUAGUCCACGCCGUAAACG
rnacentral:rRNA from 1 species